CCUUUAAAGCUACUCUCCCCAUGGAGAACGGUCACAAGUCCGUGUAAAAGCUGAGUGGAGG
rnacentral:ribozyme from 2 species